rnacentral:rRNA from 1 species
AACGAACGCUGGCGGCAUGCCUAACACAUGCAAGUCGAACGAGACCUUCGGGUCUAGUGGCGCACGGGUGCGUAACGCGUGGGAACCUGCCCUUAGGUUCGGAAUAACUCCCCGAAAGGGGUGCUAAUACCGGAUAAUGUCUUCGGACCAAAGAUUUAUCGCCUUUGGAUGGGCCCGCGUUGGAUUAGCUAGUUGGUAGGGUAAAAGCCUACCAAGGCGACGAUCCAUAGCUGGUCUGAGAGGAUGAUCAGCCACACUGGGACUGAGACACGGCCCAGACCCCACCGGAGGGAGGAGGUGGGAAUUAUUGGCCAUUGGCCAAAGGCUGAAUCCGCCAUGGCCGCUGAAGUAUUAAGGGCUUUGGGUUGGAAAAGCUCUUUUACCCGGAAUAUUAAGAACGUAACCGGAGGAAUAGGCCCCGCCAACCUCGUU